GUGGGUGGCGAAGCGCCGCCGGGCGCUUGGUGGCCGCUGCCGCCGCCACUGCAGCUGUGCACGCCCGCCUCUCGGAGGAAACUUGAAGCCAGCAGUACAAGCAGGGCUGGAGGCCGAGCGGAGCCAUCCGACCUUGGGACUAGGGAAACGUGGACUUGGUGGGCUAUUCUGCGCUGAAGAGGCAGCAACGAGGGCUCGGUGGUAUUGGUGUUGGUCCUAGUGGAAUUGUCAAGAGGAUGCUUUUGAAGACCUGAUGCCUGGAGGUACAGCAGCCAUCUUGUGACCAUAAGGAGGAAAUCAACGCAUUAAGAAGGGAAAAGCUAAGAAGAUACAGAGAGCAGGGACCACUGACAACAUGAUCAAGCCACUCUACCAGGCCUUAACUUCCUAUUCCCUGACUUCUUAUUGAAAGAGACAAUAAAACUUCUCAUUUGUUUUAACCCAUAGAAGUAAGGCAUUCUGUUACUUAUGGGUGAACACAAUUCUUAACUGAUGCCAUGGUUUAAUGGGAGUAGGGAUCCUGGUAUGACAGGAAAUUGAG
rnacentral:lncRNA from 10 species